GACGAACGCUGGCGGCGUGCUUAACACAUGCAAGUCGAACGGAAAGGCCCUGCUUUUGUGGGGUGCUCGAGUGGCGAACGGGUGAGUAACACGUGAGUAACCUGCCCUUGACUUUGGGAUAACUUCAGGAAACUGGGGCUCAUACCGGAUAGGAGCUCCUGCUGCAUGGUGGGGGUUGGAAAGUUUCGGCGGUUGGGGAUGGACUCGCGGCUUAUCAGCUUGUUGGUGGGGUAGUGGCUUACCAAGGCUUUGACGGGUAGCCGGCCUGAGAGGGUGACCGGCCACAUUGGGACUGAGAUACGGCACAGACUCCUAUGGGAGGCAGCAGUGGAGAAUAUUGCACAAUGGGCGGAAGCCUGAUGCAGCAACGCCGCGUGCGGGAUGACGGCCUUCGGGUUGUAAACCGCUUUCGCCUGUGACGAAGCGUGAGUGACGGUAAUGGGUAAAGAAGCACCGGCUAACUACGUG
rnacentral:rRNA from 1 species